rnacentral:lncRNA from 1 species
AGGGACUGGAUUUUUCAACAAUGGAUGUCUACAUGCUGAAUUCUGCUCAGCCCAAGAAAAAGGACAGACACUUCAGCAAUCAAGUCUUUUGCUGAGAGCCUGAUGGAACCCUGUUGAGUUCCUGGUAAGGAGUUCACAUUGGAAGACCAAGUGACAUCUGGCUAAAUUUCUACAGACAGAUGUGAUGGAAUCAUACGCUUUGGAGAUGCACUGUAGGGGUCGUUUGACACUUGGAGCUCUUCCUAGCCAGCUGAAAGAUGCUCUGAUAACAUUCAGAUUUCGAGACUCUGUCUGAAGCACUGGCAAGAGGCCUACAACCGAGGAAUGGAUCUUAGGAGUCCAACCUUUUAGCCAAUUUGGAAGGAUUUGAAUUUUUGUUGGAACAAUGAAGCCGAGUUCUAAACCCUUUCACCACAUGUUAUAAAUAUUAACAAUGGAGGUAAUGUGGGUGGUGGUGACUUUUUUUUGAAAUGGGGAUUUCAAUCUUGGCUGACAUGAUAAUAAAGUCAUUCACUGAGAAACAG